AUUUACCAGCACACAAAUGUGCACAGAAUGAAACUGUAGAAAACUGUCUGACUAGCAGGUUAAAGGCCCAGAAUUCAACCCUUGUUUAUUUUCUUUACUUGAUUUCUUGCUGCUACAAAAAAGAUGCGGGUAUAGCACAAACUUCUCUAUGUUACAAUGGAGCUCCAGAAGAUUUACGUCCCGUAUCAAUCAAGACAUGUGAAGAUAGGCAUGUAAGUGUAUGAAUUUAUAUGGAAUUGCUAAAGGGAGGGAAUAAUGUGAAAAUCUGGUAUGGAG
rnacentral:lncRNA from 1 species